UAAUUCGACAGAACAAACAAGACGGAAAUUAGAACUUCACAGGCACCAUUUCACUUCAUAAUCUAAAUUAAUUAUAUACUUAUUUCUUUGAUUUAUUUAUAGAAUCAUAUUUUUCUGCCUCACACGUAGUGAUUAUAACCACCGAUCCAUACCUUUGCCGGCUAAACACUAGUGAACUCUGACAAAUCCUGAUGCGAGUGAACGUUGCGUAAUUUGUAUGAGAGCUUUUAUUUGCCGCAAUAAAAACCAGCAAUGUACGUCGAAUACGUAAAAAUUCGAACUGUUUGCCGAUAAAGUAUAGCCGGCAGGAAUCAUGUCUGCUCAGUUCUUAUCUGGCGGUCAGCGGAAACGCUUGUGCGAAAACCUUCGUCAUGUUACAAAUUAUAAUAUUUAGUUUGUUGGCUAUAUUGUUUAUGUUGGCAACACUGGAACUCUUUGCUCGAGUCUGUGUGAGGAACGAAAGUGGGACGUGGAGGAAGUGCGUUGUUAUAUCCGCGCCGGUUCAGACGAUAAGAAACAAGAUUCAAGGAAUAAAGACUUUGAAAGAAGAGGUUUCGGAGCAAGAUGCGAACAAACCGACCGACACACAGGUUGCGUCUGUAUGAGUACGUAGUACAGUCAACUACACGUCGAUUUACCAUCAUCGGAUCUCUCUACAGCGGUGAUAGGGGCGUGAUUCCAAUGAAUUUGGGAAGAUUGGUGUGCUGUUGAUUGUAUAUGAUAGAUUUAAGACUAUAUGGAGAAGUAGGAUGGGCGACUUUGUUUUAUACUAUGUAGUAUAUAACGCAAUGAAUCAAAAGGGACCUUAUGGCGGCUGGCACUAAGGUCUUUAUUGCCGUCGUUCGAAUACAAAACAACGGCAAUAUUGGCGUAAGUGCCGGGCGCCAUAAGGUACCUUUGGAUUUGGACGAUCACAUAUUAUAAGCGAAAACCAUGUAAUGUUGGAUACAUAAUAUCGUCGAUACAUUGCGUUGGUACUUAGUUUGUAUGAGUGCUUUUACAUUUACCGCAAUGAACAAUUAGCAAUGUAUGCCGAAUCUGUCAAGUUCGGCGAAGUCCGCCAUAGUGUGGAACCGGCAUAAAAUAUUUUAAAUUUAUUUUCGGAAAUUAACUGUUUAUGUGUGUAAUCGUCAGGGGAUCGGACUUUUGUUGAGACCUACAGGGAAACAGGAAUGACAAAAAAAUUAUCUAUGUAUAUAAGUACCUACUAAGUAUGUAUAAGAAUUUUUGUAAAUAUAUAUUUUUUACUAAU